GACGUAGGGCGCAAGCGUUGUCCGGAUUUAUUGGGCGUAAAGAGCUCGUAGGCGGCCUGUCGCGUCGACCGUGAAAACCCGCAGCUCAACUGCGGGCUUGCGGUCGAUACGGGCAGGCUGGAGUUCGGUAGGGGAGACUGGAAUUCCUGGUGUAGCGGUGAAAUGCGCAGAUAUCAGGAGGAACACCGGUGGCGAAGGCGGGUCUCUGGGCCGAUACUGACGCUGAGGAGCGAAAGCAUGGGUAGCGAACAGG
rnacentral:rRNA from 1 species